rnacentral:rRNA from 1 species
GACGAACGCUGGCGGCGUGCUUAACACAUGCAAGUCGAACGGAAAGGCCCUGCUUGCAGGGUACUCGAGUGGCGAACGGGUGAGUAACACGUGGGUGAUCUGCCCUGCACUUCGGGAUAAGCCUGGUAAACUGGGUCUAAUACCGGAUAGGAGCCAUUUUUAGUGUGAUGGUUGGAAAGUUUUUUCGGUGUAGGAUGAGCUCGCUGCCUAUCAGCUUGUUGGUGGGGUAAUGGCCUACCAAGGCGGCGGGGGGUAGCCGGCCUGAGAGGGUGGACGGCCACACUGGGACUGAGGUAAGGCACAGACAGCGACGGGAGGGAGCAGGGGGGAAGAUUGAACGAGGGGCGCAGGCCGGGUGCAGAGGGGCCGCGGGGGGGAGGACGGUCUUCGGGUUGAAAAAUAAUUGCGCAAGGGACGAAGCUCUUUGUGACGGUACCUAGAGAAGAAGCACCGGCUAACUACGUG